rnacentral:rRNA from 1 species
ACGCUGGCGGCGUGCCUAAUACAUGCAAGUCGAACGGCUUUUCUAUGGAAGCUUGCUUCCACUGAGAAGAUAGUGGCGGACGGGUGAGUAACACGUGGGUAACCUGCCCAUAAGAGGGGGAUAACAUCCGGAAACGGGUGCUAAUACCGCAUAGUUUUCUUGAUCGCAUGAUUGAGAAAGGAAAGACGGCCUUUGUGCUGUCGCUUAUGGAUGGACCCGCGGCGUAUUAGUUAGUUGGUGAGGUAAUGGCUCACCAAGACGAUGAUACGUAGCCGACCUGAGAGGGUGAUCGGCCACAUUGGGACUGAGACACGGCCCAAACUCCUACGGGAGGCAGCAGUAGGGAAUCUUCCGCAAUGGACGAAAGUCUGACGGAGCAACGCCGCGUGAGUGAAGAAAGGUUUUCGGAUCGUAAAACUCUGUUGUCAGAGAAGAACAAGUUGGAGAGUAACUGCUCCAGCCUUGACGGUAUCUGACCAGAAAGCCACGGCUAACUACGUGCCAGCCGCCGC